rnacentral:lncRNA from 1 species
AUGUUCCGCUUUCUUCCUCGUUCUCUUCUGUUUUUCCGUAGUAAAUGCAUGUGCUUCCUCUUCAGGGGAAGGAAAUACUGCAAAAAAAAAAGAAGCAUCUCAGAUGUGGGAUCUUUAAGACGUGUGUUCUGCCUGUUGAGCAGGUGCUUGGGGUUUGCUGGACCGAUGAAGUGUGGUCAGUUUCUGCAAGGGUCUGGACUUGUUUCCCGCAGCCCUGGCAGUGGCCGUGUGGUGGCUGAGCAGACAGAACCAACGCCCGUGGGUGUUUGGCCAGCUGGCCCUGGCCUCCCACUAGGCCGUCAAAGACGCCUUCUGGAACUGGCGGCCACCUUGGCCCACUCGUUAUCCAGCAGGAUAAUAAAUGCAGACAGCAGAGCAAGCAUCUCUGGUUGAUACUCAGCUGCUGCCCCUGCUUCCUGGAGCAGGAGGGCUUGGGGAAG